rnacentral:rRNA from 1 species
AGUGAACGCUGGCGGUAUGCCUAACACAUGCAAGUCGAACGGCAGCACAGUAAGAGCUUGCUCUUACGGGUGGCGAGUGGCGGACGGGUGAGGAAUACAUCGGAAUCUACUUUUUCGUGGGGGAUAACGUAGGGAAACUUACGCUAAUACCGCAUACGACCUACGGGUGAAAGCAGGGGAUCUUCGGACCUUGCGCGAUUGAAUGAGCCGAUGUCGGAUUAGCUAGUUGGCGGGGUAAAGGCCCACCAAGGCGACGAUCCGUAGCUGGUCUGAGAGGAUGAUCAGCCACACUGGAACUGAGACACGGUCCAGACUCCUACGGGAGGCAGCAGUGGGGAAUAUUGGACAAUGGGCGCAAGCCUGAUCCAGCCAUACCGCGUGGGUGAAGAAGGCCUUCGGGUUGUAAAGCCCUUUUGUUGGGAAAGAAAAGCAGCAGGUUAAUACCCCGCUGUUAUGACGGUACCCAAAGAAUAAGCACCGGCUAACUUCGUG